GCCGAAACGCCCACCAGGGCGUCCGCCGGGAAUGGCCGCCCGGCGCUGAUGAUGGCAG
rnacentral:hammerhead_ribozyme from 1 species